AUAAGGCCGAAUUCCCCGCCAUAGGCGGGGGAACGGGGGAACCGCACACCGGGGUGAAUCCCGACUAAGGUCGAGAAGAGCAGCUCUUUCAGCUCUAACCCGUCAGCUAACCUCGUAGGCCACUGAAAGAGG
rnacentral:sRNA from 1 species